AGGGGCAUGGCUCAGUGGUAGAGCAUCUGCUUUGCAUGCAGAAGGUCCCAGGUUCAAUCCCUUGAGUCUCAA